rnacentral:lncRNA from 1 species
UCAAAAAACCAAAACCAAAACCAAAACCAAAACCAAAAAAAAAACAAAACAAAAAACAAAAAAAAAAACCAGGUCCUUAUUGACAUUUUCCUCGCUCUUUGCUUUUAGGAAAAAGCAGCAAAUUCCAACAAGAGAGAAGUAUCACUGGAUGGCAAACGGAGAGUGGGGUCCCAGCCUCACUCUGAGGGCAGGCUGAACACCUUAGGGACCAUCAACCCCCGGUGGUGUCGUUUCCAGUGAAAACCGAACUCCGGGAUGUAGCCGGAUUGGAGAGAAGCGAGUGACGCGUGCGCCCCCUUCCUGCGGCGGAUGGAUGAACGUUUCCUCCAAACCUCUCAAGAGCCCGUGGGAUUUUACCCUUUCACCUGCCUCCGCUUCUGCUGUAUCUUGUCCCAGUUCGUUAAGUGUGAAGGUCUCAGCAGCCACACCUCGACAGCAUACCGGGAACUCUCAAUACUCCUCUACCCAUUAGCA